AUGUGUACAUAUCUUAUAGCCUUAGUCAAUUAAUUUUUCUAAAUUAAUUUACUACCAAAUCCGCCUUCCUCAACUUUUACAAAUCAACUCCGUUUAGCCUGUGCUGAUGUAACUCACCUUUCCUUAAAUAUCAGCUACACCUUGACCUGACAUGGUUCCAUAAAGAAUCCUGAAUAUUUUUUUUUCAAAAUUUUCUGAUGACGGCGGUAUAUAGGCCUUACUUUAAGUUAGUUAAAAUGGGGGUUAUCAAUUAUAAGACAAGUUCCUCUGGUAAGUUAAAAUACCGCCAAAUUCUUUAAGUUUCUA
rnacentral:rRNA from 1 species